rnacentral:rRNA from 1 species
UACGGAGGUGCAAGCGUUAUCCGGAUUUACUGGUUAAAGGGAGCGCAGGCGGAUUGGUAAGUCAGUGGUGAAAUACCCGUGCUUAACAUGGGAACUGCCAUUGAUACUAUCAGUCUUGAAUGUUGUUGAGGUUUGCGGAAUGGGUCAUGUAGCGGUGAAAUGCAUAGAUAUGACCCGGAACACCUAUUGCGAAGGCAGCAGGCUAAACAAAUAUUGACGCUGAGGCUCGAAAGCGUGGGGGAUCAAACAGG